UACGAAGGGGGCUAGCGUUGCUCGGAAUUACUGGGCGUAAAGCGCACGUAGGCGGCUUUCUAAGUCGGGGGUGAAAUCCUGGAGCUCAACUCCAGAACUGCCUUCGAUACUGGAAAGCUCGAGUCCGGGAGAGGUGAGUGGAACUGCGAGUGUAGCGGUGAAAUGCGUAGAUAUUGGGAAGAACACCGGUGGCGCAAGCGGCUUGCUGGGCUAUAACUGACGCUGAGGAACGAAAGCUAGGGGAGCAAAUGGG
rnacentral:rRNA from 1 species